GUUUUUAUGUACAAUACAUACUUAAAAUAGAUGAAGGAGGACAUAGGAAUUUUAUAUGUAGGUAUAUUUUAUACGCUUCAUGGCACAAAGGUACAACUUCACUAGAAAGACACUGGAUUCACCACUAACCUCUGCAUGGCUAUAGGUAUCUUGACAUUCUUGCUGCCACCAGGUCCUUGCUGGUCUUGGAUAACAGCUACCACCUUGAACAAAUUCAGAUCCUCCACCGUGUUCCUCUGCCCCUCAAGAGAAGGCUAAAUCCGCAGACAUCCAAAUGUCAAGAAAGCCAAGAAGGGUUACCAAAUGUUUAGUACAUUUAGAGGUCAUCGCAAGGUUUAGACUGUGUGACUGAUGUUGAAAAGAAAGAUUCAUGCACUCAAAAGGAUCGAGUUGAAACCAGCAGGGAGAAUUAUCUAGCAAAUAACUGUGCACUGAAAGGACAAGAAGGAAAUGAACAAAAUAGAAAAAGAAAAGUUUUCUAAGCUCUGUUUUCUUAAAAGCUUCCUUGCCAUGUAGGAGAUGACUAUGGACUGAACCAUGAGAGACACUCUAGGAUUCACAGCCCCUUUGUCUUUUGUUCUACAUCAUGCUAAAGAAUCAGGAAUGCCAUAUUUGCAAUGUCUUCACUUGACAUCUUCUCUCUGCAUGCACUCCUGUAGCACAGCCACUGCCAGGAGCAGCCAGCAUUGUCCAGAGCCAACUCUUUUCAGAGUCACGUGAUGCAUCUCCUCUUUACAAACAAUUUACAUUUGUUAUUAUUUUUUUUUUAUUUUAAAAAAGCACACACUGCACACUAUGCAGACAGAUGGCAAUUAAGCCAGUGGGUGCAGAUCAGGGCAAAAAGUAAUUAAUGGUAGAAAGCACUCGCAAACCAGAUUCAAUAUUUUCCCUAAAGAAGGAAGGGAAAUAUUGCAAAGAAAACACAUAUAAUCCAUUAUUCAAAUACAAAUUAUGACUACUUAAUUACCCUAAUAUGAAUAAUUGUUCAAAGAGGUACAAAUACUGUAGUAUUUAAGCACAUUUUCUGCCUUGGCACAGGUGGCUUCUGGAAAUAAAUCAAGUAAUGAAAUGUUCCAAGUUCUGCUGCCAUUCUGAUGGUUUCAUUCUUUCAUUUUGUCCUCCCCCUUAAUAUAUGCUUCAAGAAACAAAACUAAAAAGCCCACCACCUUAAUCCAGCAAUUUUGUGCUAGCACAGAUCUAAAAAACAAACUCAUUGGCUCAUAAGUAAAUCAUUUCACUUAACUCUGUGAAAUAAACUGUUGAGUUUCUCUCGUCAUCUUUGGAAAAUAACACGAGGGCUGCUCCAACAGUAUUUUUCCAUGGAAAAACAAAAACAAAACAAAACAAAAAAACACAUUUCCCCUACUUUCAAAAAACAGAGGAAGGCAGUUGGUGGAAACUAUUUUUUGUUGGUUAUACAUGGGCAGAUCCAACAGAAGUCAAAAAGACUCCUAAGUAUUGCAAUCUACCAUCAUCUUACAGAGCAACUUUUGGGAUGAGAACAAACAAUUUGAAAGACAGAUGGCAGAAGUUUAGCAGCAUCAGCAGAGAUACAGCUAAUCAGAGGCAUAUAUCUUAUCACUGACAUAACAAACUAUCAGACUGUGAACCUUGUCACAAAUAAAUCAGCAUGGCCAAUACAUUUCCAGACCUGAGGUAGGAUGAGACUGUUCCAGAAGAUCACCACCACUUCCGAGAAGGGAAACACAGAAUCCAGGUCCAGACCAUUACUUGGAAAACAAGCUAUAGGCCUCAUUAAACCAUUCAAAUUUCUUCAGAUUGCCAAAUUCAACUUGAACUUUUACAAAGAAUGACUCUCCAAUGCCCUUGCCACGAGGGACCAUCUUCUUUAAUGCUGAAAUAGGGUGUUGAAGACUGGGCCAUAAAAGCUGAGACAGGGUUAGAUAGGCCAGUCUGGCACGAAAAACUACAAGAUUUCCUUUUAUUCUCUGCCAGAAACAACAGAAUCUGAGGACCAAUGCAAUUACAAACAUCACAAGAAACAGCAUUUCCAGAAGGAAAAUAGACCUAUUUCUCAUUAAAAGCUAACACGUACAAAGUAAGUAUUGCAGUAUUAUUUCCUUUAACAUCACCAAACACUACAGAUCUCUGCUUGAAAAUGGUGCUUUUAAGUUUUUUUCCUUGGUCCUACAGGACUUCCAGACAUACUGAUAAACAAAAGCAGACUGACUACUCUGGCAUCUUGGCAUGCAGUCAUUUAAUACAGAGACACUUCCUAACUUGUGCAAAAUUGAAACAUUUGUUUGAGAAUAAUUAGUGCCUUAGCCCAAAAAUGUUUGGCAGACUUUUCUAAUUAGUUGAGAAAAAUGAUUGAGGCAGGCAGGCAAGCAAGCAGAUUUUUCCAGGCAUUCUGUGAAAAUAAUUUGGACCACACACUUGGCUGCAGAGCCAGAUAACGUAUGUCAUUCUUUGCUAUCUUAACAGGUAGGAUAAAAGGAAAAACAACAACAACAAAAAUAACAACAACAACAAAAAACCCACCACCACCAAAACAUAAGAACAAGAGCCAGCCAUCUGGCAUAUGAAAUCUGAAUUGAAAGGACUUUUCACUUCUGCUAAUGUAGCUCUUCUGUUCUCUGAAGCACAAUGAUCAAGUCACACUGUGUUAGGCCCCAGCAAAUUACUUAUUUUCCUUUGUAUUUCCUAUUGUACUGUAAGAACCAGAGCUGAAAAUAUUCAUUGUGAGUCACAGGCUGUGCGGGCCCCAGAACAAUAUUUGCAGAGUAUUCACGCUGGGAUAGCCAACUGUGUUUUCCUUCUCCAGGGAUGUUUUAGCGUGCAAAGCAUGUUCGAGGCAAACUGGGAUCAGGACAAUAUCAAAUCACCACAUGCUUUAGUAGGCUGUGCAGCUUCCAGACACGUUUCCUUUCUGAGAUCCUUCCAGAAAUCAGUCUGCUAGCAAAUGAAAACUCAAGUUGCCAUGUCACUUAACUAUACCUAAUCAGAUUUCAUGGAAAUAGUUCAAUAUAUGGCAAUGUAACUGCUACUUCAAGCACUUACUACUUCAUAUACUAAUGCAACUAACUCAGGCAUGUAACAUAGUUAAAGCUUUUUGACAUCCGGGCAUAUCAAGAACUUCUCACCUCUGCAUUUUAUAUUAUUUCAGUUUAGGGAGUAAUCGAGGGAAAGAAAGGUUCAGGUUUAAAAAAAAAA
rnacentral:lncRNA from 1 species